AGCAGUGGGGAAUAUUGCACAAUGGGGGAAACCCUGAUGCAGCGACGCCGCGUGAAGGAAGAAGUAUCUUCGGUAUGUAAACUUCUAUCAGCAGGGAAGUAUAGUGACGGUACCUGACUAAGAAGCCCCGGCUAACUACGUGCC
rnacentral:rRNA from 1 species